AUUAAACUCCCUUUACAUCAUCGCCACCCCACCACUUGCAUGGCAAUUGGAAAAUGCCACAUCACGGUCCUCAAACAAUACUUCAAACUUGGAAACCACUGCAUCCUUCCUUCCCACUUAAUUGAGACAACGUCUCAAGGCUUCUCCCUCUCAUCCUCCCUCAGAUUCAGCUAGCACAGAGUUCAUCGAUCACCAAACACAGAAAAAGACACUACUGCUGGAUCAUGAACAGCCUGUUUCAUCUAAAAUUCUGUCUUCUUCAACAACAAAUUAAAAAGACUGUUAAGUAAUUGAUCUGAUGGAAGGAGAAGGGGAAGGGAAGAAGAAGGGAUUGGCGAGAGAUUCAGCCACAGAAGAGCCUCAUGAGGACAGAGGGAAUUACUUCAGCUUGAAAACAUUAAUAUUUCUUGGCUUACUGACCUUGUCUCUCUUGAUCCUUCCUCUUAUACUUCCUCCAUUGCCUCCUCCACCUUCCAUGCUGCUGCUGCUUCCUUUAGCAAUACUUGCUGUUCUGAUGAUCUUGGCUUUCAUGCACUCUGACAUAAAGGACAUGGCUCCCUCUCAUUUAGUUCAAGACAGGAACAUCGUCGUCUUCCUCGCUCGCCUCGGCGUUCCUCGCCGUUCCGCGGAGUUCCUAGUCUUCGCCUCGGUGUUCCUCGGUCGCAUUCUCCAUGAAAUUAAAGAGCGAGAAGCGAUGAAAUUGGCAACGACACCACGCUGAGCAACGAUUAAGUUGUGGACGACGAUGAGAAAGAGAAUAUGGAAUCGACGAGCUAAAGGGAAUAGGGAAGUUCAGGCAUCGUAAUCUUAUUCGGUUGCAUCAACUCUUCAAGUCUUCUGAAUUUUAUGGUCAAUUGGUCGUCCUUCAUGAUCAACUCGUAUGCUUAGCGAGUGUUUCACUAGUAGAAUUUUAGCCUUUUACUUCGCCACUCUUUACUUCGGCGAUUGUUAAUAACGAAGUAAUAUAUAACAAUUAACUUCAUUAAUAAUACUAGCGAAGUAAAAUAUUAUUUUUUACUUCAGAAUUUAAAAAACAAGAGCU